CCUACGGGUGGCAGCAGUGGGGAAUAUUGGACAAUGGGGGGAACCCUGAUCCAGCCAUGCCGCGUGUGUGAAGAAGGCCCUCGGGUUGUAAAGCACUUUCAGUGAGGAAGAACGCCUGGUGGUUAAUACCCAUCAGGAAAGACAUCACUCACAGAAGAAGCACCGGCUAACUCCGUGCCAGCAGCCGCGGUAAUACGGAGGGUGCGAGCGUUAAUCGGAAUUACUGGGCGUAAAGCGCGCGUAGGUGGCUUGAUAAGCCGGUUGUGAAAGCCCCGGGCUCAACCUGGGAACGGCAUCCGGAACUGUCAAGCUAGAGUGCAGGAGAGGAAGGUAGAAUUCCCGGUGUAGCGGUGAAAUGCGUAGAGAUCGGGAGGAAUACCAGUGGCGAAGGCGGCCUUCUGGACUGACACUGACACUGAGGUGCGAAAGCGUGGGUAGCAAACAGGAUUAGAUACCAUUGUAGUC
rnacentral:rRNA from 1 species